UACGAAGGGGGCGAGCGUUGUUCGGAUUUACUGGGCGUAAAGGGCGCGCGGGCGGCUUAUUUUGUCAGGCGUGAAAGCCCCGGGCUUAACCUGGGAACUGCGUUUGAUACGGAUGGGCUAGAGUUCGGGAGAGGAGAGUGGAAUUCCCAGUGUAGAGGUGAAAUUCGUAGAUAUUGGGAAGAACACCGGUGGCGAAGGCGGCUCUCUGGACCGAUACUGACGCUGAGGCGCGAAAGCGUGGGGAGCAAACAGG
rnacentral:rRNA from 1 species